GUGACUCCUACGGGAGGCAGCAGUGGGGAAUAUUGCACAAUGGGCGCAAGCCUGAUGCAGCAACGCCGUGUGAGUGAAGAAGGUUUUCGGAUCGUAAAACUCUGUCCUAAGGGAAGAAACAAAUGACGGUACCUUAGGAGGAAGCCCCGGCUAACUACGUGCCAGCAGCCGCGGUAAUACGUAGGGGGCAAGCGUUAUCCGGAAUCACUGGGCGUAAAGGGUGCGUAGGCGGCUUAGCAAGCCAGGGGUGAAAGGCAUUGGCUCAACCAAUGUAAGCCUUUGGAACUGUUAAGCUUGAGUGCAGGAGAGGUAAGUGGAAUUCCUAGUGUAGAGGUGAAAUUCGUAGAUAUUAGGAGGAACACCAGUGGCGAAGGCGACUUACUGGACUGUAACUGACGCUGAUGCACGAAAGCGUGGGUAGCGAACAGGAUUAGAUACCCUGGUAG
rnacentral:rRNA from 1 species